AAACUCGGCUAGAUUUUCAUAGC
rnacentral:piRNA from 1 species